rnacentral:misc_RNA from 1 species
GGACAGGGAUUCAAUACAUUUUCUAUUCCUGACCCUAAGCAUGACUAUGAAUUGUGCAAAAGAUGGAUCCAUAACUUGGGGAAUAAGAAACUAAACAUAAAGACUUUUGUUUUUGCAUAUCAUAAAAUUGUCUGUGAAAAACACUUUGAAGAGGAUUGUUUUGAAGAUGAUGUUGAGGCACGCCUUAUGAAUUUCAAACCAAGAAAAAAACUGAAAAAGGGGGCAGUUCCUACUAUUUUCAAAGACAGCAAAACUCCCAAGAGAAGGGAAGCAAGUGAAAAAAGAAUAAAAAAGAAGGAAAAAUCAGAACUACUUAAGAAUAUUCUUGCCAAUGCUGAAGAUGACAAACUUGUACCGGAAGAUGAGGCAGGCUGUUCUUACAAAGCUUGGAGAUCUGAACAGAAAAGGAAAGAAGAAGAAGCUUGGAGAUCUGAACAGAAAAGGAAAGAAGAAACAAUUCCUAAGGGAAAACCAAAAAAGGCAAAGGUUACUCGGAAUUCAAAGAACACUGUGGACACUGCGACUCAGUAUGAAUAUAUUGAUGACAGAACUAUGAAGAAUAUGGGCACACAGUGUGAUAUAAGAGCUGAAAAACCAAUCGAAUUCUGUGUAAACUGUAGAGCAAGAAAAUACCCUAGUCUAACAACAUCUGAUCACAGAUAUUUUAAAAAAUUCGAGGACAUUCCUUCAACAUGAGAAACAGAAAGCUGACAAAUUACUCUUCUCUCAUCUGCACUUUUGAAAUCUGCUCAAUGCUUCUCUGAAAUACAGAUUUGAAUCCUGUCAAAUCAAUUGGCAGCAAAGCUGAGCCAUAUUUCCAUCAAAUGAGUGAACUAUUUUACCAAAACUCUGCAAAAUAUCAUGCAAGAAUGCCUCAUCAAGCCUCUGCUGUCCAAAACAGAAGAAUUUUUUCAAAGAAUUUAUAUGCAUUUUCACUUUAUGACAAACAGAGGAACCUUUGCUCAUUUUAACCAUGAACUCAGUUUGCCUGCUAGAUAUCAUGGAGUAGAGAGAAGAUUUUAACAAUAUUGAUUAGAAUCAAUUUUUACAGGGUUGCCAAAAUGUUUUGGCUCUAUGAAACACGUCAAUAAAUUUAAUACAGUU